rnacentral:tRNA from 1 species
GUGGGUAUAGCUCAGUGGUAGAGCACAUGCUUAGCAUGCAAGUAGCCCUGGGUUCAGUCCCCAGUACCUCCA